rnacentral:rRNA from 1 species
GACGAACGCUGGCGGCGUGCUUAACACAUGCAAGUCGAACGGAAAGGCCCUGCUUUUGUGGGGUGCUCGAGUGGCGAACGGGUGAGUAACACGUGAGUAACCUGCCCUUGACUUUGGGAUAACUUCAGGAAACUGGGGCUAAUACCGGAUAGGAGCUCCUGCUGCAUGGUGGGGGUUGGAAAGUUUCGGCGGUUGGGGAUGGACUCGCGGCUUAUCAGCUUGUUGGUGGGGUAGUGGCUUACCAAGGCUUUGACGGGUAGCCGGCCUGAGAGGGUGACCGGCCACAUGGGGACUGAGAUACGGCCCAGACUCCUACGGGAGGCAGCAGUGGGGAAUAUUGCACAAUGGGCGGAAGCCUGAUGCAGCAACGCCGCGUGCGGGAUGACGGCCUUCGGGUUGUAAACCGCUUUCGCCUGUGACGAAGCGUGAGUGACGGUAAUGGGUAAAGAGGCACCGGCUAACUACG